rnacentral:rRNA from 1 species
GAUGAACGCUGGCGGCGUGCCUAAUACAUGCAAGUCGAGCGGUAACACUUCGGGUGACGAGCGGCGGACGGCUGAGUAACACGUAGGAAUCUACCCCAGACUGAGGGAUAAGCACCGGAAGCGGUGUCUAAUACCGCAUACGCUCUAAGGAGUAAAGCUUCGGCGGUUUGGGAAGAGCCUGCGCAUGAUUAGCUUGUUGGUAAGGUAAUGGCUUACCAAGGCGACGAUCAUUAGCUGGUCUGAGAGGAUGAUCAGCCAGACUGGGACUGAGACACGGCCCAGACUCCUACGGGAGGCAGCAGUAGGGAAUUUUCCACAAUGGGCGAAAGCCUGAUGGAGCAACGCCGCGCGCAGGAUGAAGGCCUUCGGGUUGUAGACUGCUUUUAUAUGUGAAGAUUAUGACGGUAGCAUAUGAAUAAGGAUCGGCUAACUCCGUGCCAGCCGCCGCGGUAA